rnacentral:rRNA from 1 species
UGGGGAAUAUUGCACAAUGGGGGAAACCCUGAUGCAGCAACGCCGCGUGGAGGAUGAAGCAUCUCGGUGUGUAAACUCCUUUUAUUUGGAAAGAUUAUGACGGUACCAAAUGAAUAAGCACCGGCUAACUUCGUGCCAGCAGCCGCGGUAAUACGAGGGGUGCAAGCGUUACUCGGAAUCACUGGGCGUAAAGGGUGCGUAGGCGGAUGAUCAAGUCUUGAGUGAAAGCCAACAGCUUAACUGUUGAAUUGCUUAGGAAACUGGUUAUCUAGAGUGAGGGAGAGGCAGAUGGAAUUGGUGGUGUAGGGGUAAAAUCCGUAGAUAUCACUAGGAAUACUCAUUGCGAAGGCGAUCUGCUGGAACUCUACUGACGCUGAGGCACGAAAGCGUGGGGAGCAAA